GAAUCCUCAAGAAAAAUCAAAUAUACAUGAAGCAACUGUAUCGGGUACCAUUUGACAGAAAUUCAGAGAGUGAAACAUCUGCGCAAUGAGUAUGUGGAGAGAGUCCAGCAUAAAUUCAACAUGAAUUUAUAUAUGUGGAUGAGGCUGGAUUUAACCUUGCGAAAACAAGAAGAGGGAGAAAUGUAAUUGGACACAGGGCAAUCACCAAUGUGCCAGGGCAGCGAGGGGGUAACAUCACCCUUUACACUGCUAUUACACAAAAUGGGGUCCUCCACCACUAUGCAAAUGUGGGACCCUAUAAUGCAAAUCUAAUACUUGCAUUUCUUGACAGAUUGCACGAGAUUGUCACAGCAUUAAACCAAGUGGACCAGAUGCGGUACAUUGUCGUUCGGGACAAUGUCUCAUUCCACCGGGCUGCUCUGGUCCAGAAUUGGUUCCAUGAGCACCCUGAAUUUGAAGUCUUAUACCUUCCCCCUUCCUCAAUCCAAUAGUUUUUUUU